GUGGUAGUCGGCCUGUUUUUCAUAAAGAUGCAACGUUUAUCUGUAGGCCUGCUCUAAGGGCUAUCAGAUGUGCUGCCAGUCAACACCGCUAAUCUGAUUCAAUUCUCUUUCUCUAUGCAGCUUAUUCAGGUUCUGUAACCAGUCCUCUCUGCUUGCCAUCUCCACUGACUGUGAUAAAGGAGUAAUCUGCAGAAUGAGACGAAGACAGGACACAGAGCUUGAAGCGCAGAAGACAGCGAUGACCCAGGGGAUAUCAUACCAGUGCAGGUAACACGCAGAGCUGCACGGGAAGACAAGAUUCAUGCAGAAACAACAUGGCGUGGGACCCACUGAGCCAGCCUGAAAAACUUGUCGGAAAACCAGGAAUAACGUGUGGAUGUAUCUUAGUUGGUUUAUCUUAGUCCCUCUACAUGCUUAUGUGUACAGCAGAUGCACAAAGUGGAGACACAGCCACUCCACUCACUGCAGCUUAAAUAAGAAAGCAAACUGUACAUAUUGAGCCUGCUAACCAGCCAUGCCACAUGUUCAGUUCAAAUGUCUGUCUGUAAGUUAUUAAAUAGUGGUUAAGCAAAAUGAAGAGCAGAGGCAGAGUUUGGGAUGGGGUUCAUUGAACAGCUGCUUUCAUUUCACUUGGUAAAAUUCUAUAUAGGAGCGGAGCUACACUGCAGCUGGAGAUCAGACCUUGGCCAGAUAAAUAUUUUAAGGGAUUUCAAAUAUUUGAUAGAUAAUUCUCAGGAUGUGAUGGAUCAAACUGGCCCAGGACCUGAACACCCCCAUCAAAGAAGCCUCAAAUAUGAGACAGGUGGAUACGAUUGUAGCAAAAGACAAAGCAAAAGCAAAUAAUACAUCUACUGUGUGAUUUGUGGGAAGGAAGACGUCGUGCUUUGUGAU